CCUGCUGCUAUAGGAACGGUGCUGCUUAUCUACCCAUGAAAGUGUAGGGGGCGUGCUGGAAAUUGAACCCAGGGCCUUGUAUAUGCAAAGCAUUGACUACUGAGCUAAGCCCCAGCCUGUCCAGGGAGGAAAGUGAAUGUUUUCUACAGGAAGAAACACCAUUUGCCAUGAUCUGAUCAAUAUGUUGUUUACAUAUAUUAAAAUAUACAGUACCUUGUAAACAUGUACAAUUAUGUCAAUUAAAAAGCCUUAAUGUUUGAAAAAAGUUGUAUAUGUAUUCAACCCACAGACUUAUCAGUUUUCCUUAAAAAUGCAGUGUAAUUAAUCUCACAACCUGUCCACUGUGUUGGGUACUGUCAUUAAUACAGAGACGAUGUAAAGUCCAGGCUGCGGGGCGUGGCGGUGCACACCUGUAGUUCCUAGGCCGAUCUCUGUGGAUACGGAAGGAUGAUUGCUUUUCUUAGUAUGUUUGCUUCUCUGUUAAUCAUUUCCCACAUUAAAGUAUAAAUUUCAUUAGAACGGAGAGUGUAUCUGUUUUGUUUACGGUUCCGCAGAUGCCCAG
rnacentral:lncRNA from 1 species